CGUUUUUGCCGGACUGAUCUACUUCCGUUUUCCCAAUUUACUUCCGCUUCCUCAUCUUUUAGUUGUAUCGGUAGUUGUAUCGGUUUAUGACAUUGAUGUAUUUGGACAUAACAUCAAUGUGUAGUACCUAUAAACAUCAAUUUACAGCGCAACUAGAUUGAUACAUUUCAGAUAUUUUGUCCGCUAAAAAACUUGAUGCAAGUGCAAAGAGAAAGUUUACAUUUGGGAAGUUGAUUUUGCGCAAGACUCUGUGGAAACAGCAAUUAAAUAUGGCGUCAAAAUUGGCGUCUCGAAGUGGCUUAGAUUCAGAAUGGAAUGAUGUUUCUGCCUCAAUUGAUCUGUUUCUUGUUCAGCAUGAAAGAAAAUUUGAUGAAGGAAGACUGCGGAUUAUAAAAAGUCAUUGGAUAGCUGAUAAAGAAAGAAAACAAUGCUCAAACAAAUUGUGUGCUGUAAAUUUUUCUCUGACUGAAAGGAAACACCAUUGCCGCAGGUAGCAGUCUAUUUAUGAACAAUAUCAAGGCAUUUUUAAUACCAUGGACUGGCGGGGCAUUUGCCCCAC